rnacentral:rRNA from 1 species
CCUACGGGAGGCUGCAGUGGGGAAUAUUGGACAAUGGGGGCAACCCUGAUCCGGCCAUGCCGCGUGUGUGAAGAAGGCCCUCGGGUUGUAAAGCACUUUCAGUGAGGAAGAACGCCUGGUGGUUAAUACCCAUCAGGAAAGACAUCACUCACAGAAGAAGCACCGGCUAACUCCGUGCCAGCAGCCGCGGUAAUACGGAGGGUGCGAGCGUUAAUCGGAAUUACUGGGCGUAAAGCGCGCGUAGGUGGCUUGAUAAGCCGGUUGUGAAAGCCCCGGGCUCAACCUGGGAACGGCAUCCGGAACUGUCAAGCUAGAGUGCAGGAGAGGAAGGUAGAAUUCCCGGUGUAGCGGUGAAAUGCGUAGAGAUCGGGAGGAAUACCAGUGGCGAAGGCGGCCUUCUGGACUGACACUGACACUGAGGUGCGAAAGCGUGGGUAGCAAACAGGAUUAGAUACCCUUGUAGUC